GAGACACGCGCCCGGGACUGCGCAUGCGCAGGCGCGCGGCGGCGCUUCCUGGGAACUCGGGCUCGGCGGAACCCGGGCAGCGGUGACUCAGCGCCUGAGGCGAGGAGGGCAGCGGGGUUCCCUCCCCGCGAAGCCGAAGAGCUUCACUUCUCGGCCCUCGCCGCCCCCAAAGUUGAGGCCGCCCCGGGGCCGGGCUACGGUGCAAGCUCGCCGCCUCAGCCGGCUCCGUGCGCUGCCCGAUCGUUGGAAGCCCUGAGGAGCUCGGAAGUUUUUCAUUUGGGGCGGGGAAAGGUCUUGAACUUGCUCAGAGUUGUGGGGUGAAGCCACAGCUUUCUGGAGGCAUUUGGGGAACGUGAAGAACGUCAGAGACAAAUUGGUGCUGGCAGCUACUGUGUUGUGGUUUUUCACCUGCGGUCAGUCCUCAGAUGUAGAAGCUAAGGCCUUGGAAAGGAGAGCCUGGCUCAGGGUCACAGAGCCAGCGAGGAGGAGACAUAAGACUCAAAUCGAGGUCUCUUGAUCCCCAGGCCUGUUCCUAUGUUCUGCACCUUGGAUUUCAGGGGUCCCUGAAAACAGAUGGCACAUAUCAGCUGGAUAAGGAAACUGACUAGUGAAUCAGCAAGAGGAAUGGAGGUGUGGACAACUGAGCUGACGUUUGCCUCUCUGGGAUCUUGUGUAUGAUAGUUCCUCUGUGGAUGUUUGUGGGGUGAAAGAAUGAAAGAGGAGCAUAUAAGAAGCCGGAUUCUUUGGAGAAUUGCCCUGGAGAUCCAUAACUGUGCCUCAUUUCUGCAGUACAGGGGGAUGCCUGUCAGUGUCUCCCCUGCCGCUUGGUGAUAAGCCAGAUUAUUCAGGUUAAAAGAGGUUAUGGCCCUAGGAAUAGAUCAGAUCUGGACGUAGGACAAGGUGACAUCACCGUGGAUCUCCACCAAGUCCACCCUCUGGAAGGCUGAGAGGCUAUGGGAGAAGUCGAAGAGGUGCUGGCCAUUGGCAUACACCUUGAAGCGAUCUGCACCACAACGAACGGACAGAUCAAAGAAUUGUCCAGGACCGAAUGGGUUGUAGGGGACCUUCCUCUCCUCAGAUCCCCAAGAGCCAUUCAGAAAGCUGUUCCGAACCACAGCGCCCUCGGUCAUGCGGGGGUUAAUGUGCAGAGCCACGUCCCCAGAGGAUCCCACCUUGAAGUUGAUGACAAAGCUCUUGGCUGUGCGGGGUGGGUGACCAUCUGCAGCGGGAUCCGGUGCUUAAACUCAUGGAAGGGAGUCCCAUUCACCACCACCUUGAAGUGCUCCAUCAUGACCAUGAACACCAGCUCGAAGGCCGCACCCUUGCGGAAGGGCAUGCUCAUUUUCCUCUCCUCGUUGCCCCACGAGCCAUUCUGCUUCGAGUUCAAGACCAC
ensembl:lncRNA